UGGGGAAUAUUGCACAAUGGAGGGAACUCUGAUGCAGCGACGCCGCGUGAGUGAUGAAGGAAUUCGUUUCGUAAAACUCUGUUCUAUGGGAAGAAAAGGACUGUACCAUAGGAGAAAGCUCCGGCUAAAUACGUGCCAGCAGCCGCGGUAAUACGUAUGGAGCGAGCGUUGUCCGGAAUUAUUGGGCGUAAAGGGUGCGCAGGCGGUUUAAUAAGUCCUAAUUAAAAGGCUAUGGCUCAACCAUAGUAUGGUUAGGAAACUGUUGAACUUGAGUAGAUGAGGGGAAAGUGGAAUUCCAUGUGUAGCGGUGAAAUGCGUAGAUAUAUGGAGGAACACCAAUGGCGAAGGCAACUUUCUGGAAUCAAACUGACGCUGAGGUACGAAGGCGUGGGGAGCAAACAGG
rnacentral:rRNA from 1 species